GUCAAGGCUUUGAAUCCUCCCUAGCAAAAAAAUUACAAACAAUGGGUAAAAACAGCACUUAGCUCGAAAUUAAUUGUUGCAUUGCACGGCCUAUGCUGUGUAUAUAUACACUUCGUAUGCAUAUAUGUGUAUGAGAAGAAGCAGCAACACUAUCUCAAUUACUUGGAACGUAGUCCAGGAAUAUUUUUCAAUCCCAUUUUCCCAAGAACAAGCUUUGGAAUUGCUGGAGGGUUGUCAAGCCCCAUGGUCCGACUAAACUCGUUUGCAAGUUCAACAAGUCUGUACUUGUCCUUACCGAUAGACCUGUUGGAAUUAUAGUAACCAAGCCAUGCCUGGUAUGCAGAUUCUUUGGUUUUCAUUUCUAUAUGGGCUAACGCACGUUCCACCUUUUUCUUGGCCUCUGGAUCAAGCAGAGGUACAGGUGCCUUUGAUACGGGCAAAUCUUUAAUUGUAGACAAGAAGAAUUCCUCCCAUGGAGCCAACAACAAAAUGCCUUGUCCUUCUUUUCCUUUCCGUCCGGUUCUACCUAGACGAUGGAUGUACUGCUGUCUAUCAGCUGGCACUCCAAUCUGUACAACUAAGGUAACAUCUGGAUAAUCCACUCCACGAGCAGAAACAUCUGAGGAAACUAGAAUAAGACCUGUUGACUGGCGAAAUCAUCUGAAACCCUUGUUCUAUAGCUUUGUGGCUUACGAGAAUGAAUCUCCCGGACGUUUAAGUUAAGUUCACCAAGAAGUUCAGCAACGAGUUUUGUUACCAUUGCAGUUGUGCAAAAUACAAGAACCUUAUAGUUAACAUCAUCAGCAAUGUGCUCUUUUAGUAGAGCAUAAAGAAGGGAAAAGUGUGAUUCUAGAGGAGAAACCAGAUGCAUCUGCUGAACUUGUGCAUGUGUCUCUUCACUGCCUUCCUCAACAGUAUUGAUAAAUUCGUGGUCUCUUUUCAAAGCAAUAUGACAAAUUUGACGGACCUCCGGUGGAACUGUUGCAGAAAAGAGAAGUGUUUGGCGCUGUUUUGGAAUAGCAGAGAUGAUUCUCUCAAUUUCUUUACGGAAUCCCAUAUCCAACAAAUGAUCGGCUUCAUCAAGGACCAACACUUUAACACCCAUCAACCGAGUAGCAAAUCCUGCUGUAUUCUCUACAUGAUCUCUGAGUCUCCCAGGUGUCGCCACAAGUAUCUGACAUGGAUUUGCUUGCAUCCUUUUCUGCUCAAGUGCAAGCCUUGUUCCGCCUAUAACAACUUGAACCCCAAUUGAAGGGUGAUAUUUUAACAAGGUGUUGGCCUCGGCAGCUGCUUGAGUUGCAAGCUCCCGGGUAGGGCAUAUCACAAGCACCAGAAUUGGUGGCCUCUUUUGAUCACGGGUGUUGGGGGGUGAUUUUACAACAACUUCAAUUGAAGGAAGCAAAAAUGCUACAGUUUUCCCAGUGCCAGUCUUUGCCUUGGCCAGAACGUCCUUGCCUUUUAGAAUAAUGGGAAGGGUUGCCUCCUGCACUACAGUCAUCGUUUUGUAUCCAGCAUCUUUAACUCCUUUCAGAGACAAGGGAGAGAGAGGAAACUGAUCAAACCUGGUUUCGGUGAGGUGGGAAUCACUUUUUCCAUGUGAGCUCGGGCUUGAUGCCCUUGGACUGUCCUCCUCCAAUGAGGCCAUCUUUUCAUCCUCGACCUCAUUGUCUUCAUCAGAUUCUUCACUUUCUUCCUCGCUGUCAAUCAAAUCUCGGAACCCCUUAUAACCAUUCUCCUCUUCCUCUUCGUCAUCCUCAUUAUCGGUAUCAUCUUCAUCCAACAGCAUGGAACUACCUCGACCCAUACCUGCCCCUUCUUUCCUCCCUAACCUACCAUUACCACCUUGUGCUGCCAUAUCUCUACCAUAUCCACUACCA
rnacentral:misc_RNA from 1 species